UACAGAGGGUGCGAGCGUUAAUCGGAAUCACUGGGCGUAAAGCGCACGUAGGCGGACUCUUAAGUCGGUGGUGAAAUCCUGGAGCUCAACUCCAGAACUGCCUCCGAUACUGGGAGCCUUCGAGUCCGGGAGAGGUGAGUGGAACUGCGAGUGUAGAGGUGAAAUUCGUAGAUAUUCGCAAGAACACCAGUGGCGAAGGCGGCUCACUGGCCCGAUACUGACGCUGAGGUGCGAAAGCGUGGGGAGCAAACAGG
rnacentral:rRNA from 1 species